UUAACCGUUAAAAAUCAAGAAUAGUGACAGUGAACACAGAGUAUCCAAAAAUGCGUGUCCGCUUAUGGCUUAUCGUAUGAAAACAGCGGAUUCGUACGAAUCCAACAAAAGGAGUUGGACUUUAGAAAGAGAAGCCGAACCAAGCCGAACUCAAAAUAAUCGAAAGUGUAGAGAUGUCGACUAGCUCCUACGUAACUCUUCCGCUCGUCAGCAGUAGAGUUUAUUUUUUCGGUUCCAGAUGACCAGCGAACUUUUACUGCUGGUAAUACGAUGGGAGUACGCGUAUAUAUUGAUACUGCAGCCCUCACGUACCGACGCACGGUAAGCGUGUGGAACUAAUACAGAGUGUAUUGGUUACGCAAUAUUUUUGCUGUACCUACCCAACUACACUGUGCCACUGUUGGAACGUUUACUGCUGUAUCAUUAUAAUGUUUUCGUUUCGUUUAAGUGUAAAAUUUGUCAUGAAAAACCAAAAUGUUUGCUUUUUAUAAAAAUACGAUAAAAUAAAAUAUUUCAACCCGUUGCAAACGUAUUGCAAUCUGUUUAACCUUAAAAUUCGUGAGCGGCGAUUGCGCUUCGUUUCAGUUUUGGCAUAGCUGUGAACAUAAUUGCCUCGAAUUAAUAGUGAUUCUGUUGCGAUUGGAAAGUCUUUUUACACUCGGGAAACCUGGUCAUAUUUAUUCAUAAAUACACGAAAGUAUAUUUUACAUCGGUACAUCAAACGUUUUACGUAAUUCUCGAGUCAGGUCUGUCGAUUUCUGGCGUUCCAAAAACGAGAAUAUAUUUCGAAGGGCUGCAACAACAGAUACAAAAGAUUGAUAGAUGAAGAAUUUCCACAGUAUUAAAUAAAAUAGAAUAAUCGAAACAUUAAAGUGGGAAUCGAAUAAAAAAUUGCGAACAGAA